GGGAGGAGGAAGUGAGCUUCAACGUGAACCACAAAAACUUCGACCAAAAAGCAAUGACGAUGAUGACGACUCAGACUACAGGGACUCAGACUCAGAGAAAGAAGAUCUGGUUUGGGGUGAAAUACUUCACAGGUUGAAAAAGUGUGUGACCUUUUGCUCAGAUAGAGUGGAAGUGAUCCCAGAGCAGAAAGAGGAAGCAGUUCAGUCAAAGCUUCACCUUCCAUGGACCGUUCACCAUUCAGCAGGAGUCCAUCAUGAGACCAAAGCACGGCUGGGCCUUGGUGGACAUUUCCAUCCUGGUGGCUCUCCUUCUCACCUGUAACACUGAAGCUACAGAUUCAGAAGAUUCAAGCUGCUCUCAGAGGAUUACUGUACGCCGCCACACUGUAUAUAAAGCUACAGUUGGACAAACGCUGAAGAUCAAUUGCACAGUUUUCUUCUGUGAUGAUACGCCACCGACAGUAUCCUGGGAAAAAAACUCAUUCCUCAUCCCAGUCAACAAAACCAGUCACAUCAACACUGAAUGGUCUUUGAUUAACAAACAGGAAGGAGUUUCACUUCUGAGCUUUAAAAAAAUUCACCUCAGUGAUUCUGGUCGAUAUAACUGUCAAAUGAAGGGCAGCGUGAGUCACGGCAUUACUCUCAACGUCUAUGGUGAUAACGAAACAAUUAGUCCAUUGGAGAACAGCACAAGUAAGGAUUCAGGAUCCAAGGUGUAUAUGACAUAUGUCUACUCUGCUGUUGGGACUGCUUCAGUCGUCAUCGCCGUCAUCAUCGUAACAGCUGUAUUGUUGCGAGGGUGUAAAGGACGAUCCAAAAAGGAGAACAAAACUGAAAACCAGUACAUCUGCAUGGAAGAGCGAACCUUCACACACCGCACCCCAAAAGGAAGCCCUUCUGUGACGCCGUCUACCCAGAAAAAGACAACUUUAAUGCCACCAAAGCGUGAGAUUGUAUCAACGCAUAAAGCUCAGAUGAGAGAGGAAAAUAUGACGCAAAAAGAAGAGGAAGGUGCUUCGAUUGUGUACGCCGCAAUCAACCAUCAGCUUCCAUCUACUGCGGCUGGUCCUAGGAGACAAACUCCGCAAGAAGAACCAACCUUGUAUGCAGCGUUACGUGUGGCAUGAGAACCAACUGGACUGAUAUACACCAAAUUGUACAUUAUUACCUCAUGUUUUUGGUAAAACUAAAGAAAUACCUGAUGAUAAACAUUCUUUCCUUUGUAAAAGUAGCUACUUGCAUACUCCACAGUAAGAAAAGUAGCUAUUGGGUGUUCAAGAAGCCGCUAGAUGGUGCUAGCUAUUAGUUUGUGAUGGUGUAGGUGUGGGUUUUAAAGAAAACAACAGCUUUAGUAGUGGUUGGUUACAGUGGACUGGACAGGUCGCGCACGUACAAGUAACUCUAGGCUACACCAAAAAAAGUCACUAGACGUGUUGCUCGUCACUAUUUCGAGAGAAAUAAAAAGUCGCAAAGGAGAUCA
ensembl:lncRNA B- and T-lymphocyte attenuator-like